GACGAACGCUGGCAGCGUGCUUAACACAUGCAAGUCGAACGGAAAGGCCCUGCUUGCAGGGUACUCGAGUGGCGAACGGGUGAGUAACACGUGGGUGAUCUGCCCUGCACUUCGGGAUAAGCCUGGGAAACUGGGUCUAAUACCGGAUAGGAGCCAUUUUUAGUGUGAUGGUUGGAAAGUUUUUUCGGUGUAGGAUGAGCUCGCGGCCUAUCAGCUUGUUGGUGGGGUAAUGGCCUACCAAGGCGGCGACGGGUAGCCGGCCUGAGAGGGUGGACGGCCACAUUGGGACUGAGAUACGGCCCAGACUCCUACGGGAGGCAGCAGUGGGGAAUAUUGCACAAUGGGCGCAAGCCUGAUGCAGCGACGCCGCGUGGGGGAUGACGGCCUUCGGGUUGUAAACUCCUUUCGCUAGGGACGAAGCUUUUUGUGACGGUACCUAGAUAAGAAGCACCGGCUAACUACGUG
rnacentral:rRNA from 1 species